UACGGAGGGUGCAAGCGUUAAUCGGAAUUGCUGGGCGUAAAGCGUGCGCAGGCGGUUUGUUAAGUCCGUUGUGAAAGCCCCGAGCUCAACUUGGGAAUUGCAGUGGAUACUGGCAGGCUGGAGUACGGUAGAGGAAGGUGGAAUUCCCGGUGUAGCAGUGAAAUGCGUAGAUAUCGGGAGGAACACCAGUGGCGAAGGCGGCCUUCUGGACCAGUACUGACGCUCAUGCACGAAAGCGUGGGGAGCAAACAGG
rnacentral:rRNA from 1 species